AGGAGUGUAACUCAGGCUUAGAGUAUUUGCCUCAUGUGUGGAAGGCCCUGGGUUUGAACCCCAGCACUACCA
rnacentral:tRNA from 1 species